ACCCCGGGCCCAUGUGUCAGUUAUUUCCCCUUCCUCGAAUCACUGUCUAGCAUGCGAACAGACCUCUCUCCCCCCUCCCCUUUCCCCUUCCUUUCCUGCCGCUCAUGGCUCCUCUCUCUCUCUCUCUUUCUCUUUCUCUUUCUCUCUCCAUUCAUUCCGUCUUCCCCAUCUCCAAUCCAUCGGCGCGCUAGACCUCCCCCCGCCACUACCACCAUGGCUCUUGUAUGCGGAGCGACUGGUUGUGGAUAGAGAUUAGAAGAAUCAGUUUUCCGCUGCUACUGUGGUGAGAUGGUGCGUAACCUCAGGCAACCCAAAUCCGUGAAGCCUGGCCAUGGGAUGGACUUAUACUGGAAGGGAUCUGAAAUCAGUCUGGAUUUGGGUCAGUUUUGGUCUUGGCCCCAAUCGUAGAGCCAGCCCUAAGGCAAUUGCUGGAAAGAGUUAAUCCAUUCCAUUGCUAGCUGAAAAUGCUGCACGAAUGGUUACAGAGGUAAUCAGGAUGCAGAAUCGUUUGAUAUUGCAAGGAUAUGAGCAGAGCAUUCCAGGUGACAGCUCAUUACAUCAAAAUGAAAACCUUGUUUGCUGCUGUUGGAUAGCAGUUAGAAGACGACACAAGCUGCAAUGCGCAAGGUAGUGGUGCGUAUACAGAUGAUUAAAUUGGUGAUGAUCAAUAUUCAGCUGUAGGCUUGUAAUAUGAUGUAAAAAGUGUUAACUAGAUGAUGUUGUUACGGACUUUAAGUAUCAACAAACUAGGUAUGAACCCGUGGUAUAUUCACAUGUAAAUAUGAGUACUUGGCAGGCAUGAUCAGUAUAUGUUCUUCAUAUCAUGGUAUUCUAAA